rnacentral:rRNA from 1 species
UACGUAGGGUGCAAGCGUUAAUCGGAAUUACUGGGCGUAAAGCGUGCGCAGGCGGUUAUGUAAGACAGUUGUGAAAUCCCCGGGCUCAACCUGGGAACUGCAUCUGUGACUGCAUAGCUAGAGUACGGUAGAGGGGGAUGGAAUUCCGCGUGUAGCAGUGAAAUGCGUAGAUAUGCGGAGGAACACCGAUGGCGAAGGCAAUCCCCCUGGGCCUGUACUGACGCUCAUGCACGAAAGCGUGGGGAGCAAACAGG